GACGAACGCUGGCGGCGUGCUUAACACAUGCAAGUCGAACGGAAAGGCCCUGCUUUUGUGGGGUGCUCGAGUGGCGAACGGGUGAGUAACACGUGAGUAACCUGCCCUUGACUUAGGGAUAACUUCAGGAAACUGGGGCUAAUACCGGAUAGGAGCUCCUGCUGCAUGGUGGUGGUUGGAAAGUUUCGGCGGUUGGGGAUGGACUCGCGGCUUAUCAGCUUGUUGGUGGGGUAGUGGCUUACCAAGGCUUUGACGGGUAGCCGGCCUGAGAGGGUGACCGGCCACAUUGGGACUGAGAUACGGCCCAGACUCCUACGGGAGGCAGCAGUGGGGAAUAUUGCACAAUGGGCGGAAGCCUGAUGCAGCAACGCCGCGUGCGGGAUGACGGCCUUCGGGUUGUAAACCGCUUUCGCCUGUGACGAAGCGUGAGUGACGGUAAUGGGUAAAGAAGCACCGGCUAACUACGUG
rnacentral:rRNA from 1 species